GCGUUUUGCAAGUUGGAAAAGUCGUGAAUUUCAUCCUCCUCUUUGCAUGCUAUCUUUCUCAACGCUUUCCGAUCAAUUGCCAAAUCCUUUAUUGAUCUACGUCAAACUCAUAUACUUUUGGUAGCCUUUUUUCUACCUUCUUUCCAGAUCGUAAGAAAGACAAAACACUAUAAAUAUAUGGAGUUUGAGAAUCAUUUCCUAUGUACAGAGAUUAAAGUUGUUUGGGAGGAAGGAGGUUAUCUGUACGCCAACUAACUGCUAAGAUCCGUUUAUUUGGUUUACAUGAAUAGGCUAAGACAAGGCAAACUAUACCCCUCAAAAUCUUUGUCUUGGAUCUGUUCAUUUUCCACCCUUCUCUGGUUUUGUCUCCCAAAAGGUCAAUAUAAUAGUAACUCAUUAAGCUCUGUCAGAUACAUGUCGACUUCAACAAGUGCAGUAGCAAUUGAAAAGCAGAUGGUACCUGAAAAUGAAGUUCAACAGGUUGAAUUACAUACUGGGGCCGAGGAAUUACAUGGGGGAAUCAUUCUAGACAUGUCGACUUCAACAAGUGCAGUAGCAAUUGAAAAGCAGAUGGUAGCAGAAAAUGAAGUUCAACAAGUUGAAUUACUUACUGGGGUCGAGGAUUUACAUGGAGGAAUCAUUCUAGACAUGAAUAAAGCUAUGGAUUCUGAGGCCUUCGCCUCUUCACUUAGAGCUUCAAUGUCACCGUGGAAGCAACAAGGGAAGAGGGCUGUUUGGAUUAAAGUGCCUACUGAACUUGUUAAUCUGGUUGAACCGGCGGUUAAGGAAGGAUUUAGAUACCACCAUGCUGAACCAGACUACUUAAUGCUUGUAAACUGGAUCAGCAACUCUACCAAUACUCUUCCUCAAAACGCUUCUCAUCGUGUAGGGAUUGGUGCUUUUGUCGUAAAUGAUAAAAGAGAGGUGCUUGUAGUCCAGGAAAAGAAUGGCAGGUUCAAAGGCACAGGUGUCUGGAAAUUCCCUACCGGAGUUGUUAAUGAGGGUGAGGAUAUUUAUAUGGCAGCAAUUAGGGAAGUAAAAGAAGAAACAGGGAUCGACACAGAAUUUGUGGAAAUUUUAGCAUUUAGGCAAAGCCACAAGUCAUUCUUUACAAAAUCGGAUUUGUUUUUUGUUUGCAUGUUACGUCCACACUCAUUUGACAUCCAGAAGCAAGAUACAGAGAUUGAUGCAGCCCAGGUACAUUCUAAUGGACACCCAUGUACAGACUGCUAGCUAUAGGAGCUUAUUAGCUAAAGGAAACGGUUCUUCUCAAUGCAAAAGUCCGUAUAGGUGGAGGUUACACUGGCUGUAACCUUUCCAUGAAUAAGUUAGUAUAUACGUCCUAGAGACUGCAGGAAUAGAAGAAGAAGAAGAAGAAGACUAACUUAGAGGCUAUAAUUUGGAUAUGGAAUGCCUUAUAGAUUUAGUAGAGGAGAUACCGAAUGCCCCCGAAAUCUUGGUAUCAAAGGUGAAGGCUGUUUCCAGAGCCAAUACACCAAUCCUGAUCAUGCUUUGUGCUUAGUUUAAGACUAUGGAAAGAUCAGAGUGGUAGAGUGGAUGUCACUUGAGGACUAUGCAGCCCAACCUUUUAUCCAGAAACAUAGUGUCUUUAGUAGUGUUGCCCAAGUAUGCAU